CUCUAGCAGCUUGAUGUAGUUGUUGAGAGCAAAUCAAAGGUAACAGUGGGACAAAAUUGCUCAGAAAGUUUUCAAGAAAUAAUGUGGGCUGCUCAGACAGUAAAGAGUCUUCCUGCAAUGCUGGAGACCUGGGUUCAAUCCCUGGGUCAGGAAGAUCCCCUGGAGAAAGGAAUGGCUACCCACUCCAGUAUUCUUGCCUGGAAAAUCCCAUGGAAGAGGAGUCCGAAGGGCUAUAGUCCAUGAGUCACAGAGUCAGACACGACUGACUUUCACCUUCACUUCACAUAUAUAAAGAUGUUGAUAACAGCACUGACUGUAAAAGAAAGAUGAAGGUGACCUAUGGCGAGAGAUGACAAGCGUGGCUUUCCCAGCCUGUCUGUGGUAAAGGAUUUGGUAAAUUUUCCUUUCUUGCAGACUCGCUGCUUCCAGCCCUGGUUCCCACCUUGGGACAUGACUUAGGCUUGUAGGUGUUGUUUUGCAGACCCCAGGGCUUCACAGGUGGCACUACUGGUGAAGAACCUGCCCGCCACCCACCAAUGCAGGAGAUGCUAAAGACGUGGGCCAAGCAGAUCCGCUGGAGAAGGGAAUGGCAACGCACUCCAGGAUUCUUGCCUGGGAAAUCCCAUGGACAGAGGAGCCUGGCAGGCUACAGUCCAUGAGAUCGCAGAGUUAGAUGCAAGCACAUUCCAUUUCUACCCCCCAAAAAUUUCAGUACAAUUGCACUGGGGUGAAGCCCAGAUGUCGGAAAUUUUGGUAACCUCUCUAGGUGAGUCCAUCUUGCAGCCAGCGCUGAGAACCUCUGCUUUCUGACUUCCAGUGGGACUGGGAUUACUGGCCUGGGGGCUGAAUGUCUUUAGGUCACAGGCUGCUUUCGGGGAGUCCCCACUUCCCACUGGGCUUUACCAGAGUCGUCAGCAGCUGUUUCAAAAAUGCUGACACAUGGAGGAAACGGUAUCCCAGCCCAACAGCUCACUCUGAGUGAUGAGACUGAAGAUCAGCAUUUUGCUACAGCUGCAUCAGCCUCCCCAGACAGUCAAUUAGCCACAGACUUCAGCAGAUGCUGCCUGAAAGAGCUCUUUUGAGGCUGACUUUCAAUGCCCAGAAGCACAUUAUGUAGCUAAGCAAUACUAUAUUCACAUCAGGCAAAAGCAUCUUGCUUUAAGUCGCAGUAUUUAUUUCCUGAUGAAAGGGGGACUCGCCUUGGACCUGGAACUUGGUGGUACCCAGACGGAUGGAGAAGAGGGACUACGAUGGUCCUAGAAAGUCCUAGAUGGGACUAGGAUGGAUGGAGAAGAAGCAUGACUAGGAUUCUGGGGGUGCAGCCAGCCAAGGACGAGGGAGCAUUAACCUAGAGUUAUAAGACAGAGGUUUGAAUCUCAUCUCUACUUUUGCUCAGCAACAUGGCCUUGCAGUCAGUCCAGCUAAUGAUCAACUUCUUGGAGCUAGAGGGACCUCCCUGAUGGUCUAGUAGCUAAGACGCCAUGCUCCCCAUGCAGGGGGCUUGGGUUUGAUCCCUGGUUAGGAAACUAGAUCCUGCAUGCCACAACUAAGACCCAGCACAGCCAAGUAAAUAAAUAAAUUUUUAAAGUGGGAAUAGAGAUUGCUGCCAUAGUUAUGUCAUAAUUAAAACUGAGAGGUAAUGCUCAUAAGUAUAUCAACAGAGGCAGGGGUGCAGAGCUGACCUGACAGAAGAGAUUUUUGUGUUUGCAUUAAUGGCCAGAAACCUGGCCUCUUAUGCCUCCUUAGUUCCCCCUUUGGCUGAUAUAGGGGAGGAGAGACCAUUCACAGGGGUCUGGCAGCCAUCUUUAACUCUGAUAAGGACAGCUAAGGGCAAGAAGAAAUGUGAGCUUCUGGAGAAUUCCCUGGGGGUCCAGUGUUUAAGACUCCUAGCUUCCACUGCCAGGGGGCUUGGGUUCAAUCCCUGGUCAGGGAACAAGGACCCCACAUGCUGCAUAGGGUGGUCAAGUAAAUAAAAUAGAGCUUCUGAGAGUAGAAUGGGGUAUCUCGUGAUUUUUCCCCAGGUAAUUAGCAUUAAGAAUGAGACUGACAGGGGGAAGGGAUAGUUAGGGAGUUUGGGAUUGACAUGUUCACACUACUAUCUUUUAAAUGGAUAACCAACAAAAACUUACUGUAUAGCACAUGGAACUCUGCUCAAUAUUGUGUGGCAGCCUGGAUGGGAGGGGAGUUUGGGGGAGAUGGAUACAUGUAUAUGUGUGGUUGAGUCCCUUUACUGUUCGCCUGAAACUGUCACAGCGUUGUUAAUUGGCUAUACCCCAAUAC
ensembl:lncRNA